AGUUUCCCGGUUCCUCCAAAUUUCUGGGCUCCUACUUGUUUCCACAGAGAUGGAUACUGUGGAGGUCCAGGAAGCAGAGAGAUGGCUAAGGCUCAUCAGGACCGUAUGAUCUCCCAAGUGUCCAGCUACUGAGUACCACAAGGUGAUGGGUGGGAGGGUCCUCCCACGGAAGGAUACCGCAGUCCCUAGGGGUUGCAAGCCCCACAUGUUCCACUGGCUGCUAGAGCUACCUACUCAAUCAGCCCUGGGCAUCACCAUCAGGUACUCGGCCAAAAUGACCUCUCUGCUUCCAGUCCUCAGUUCUGGUCAGCACCAGACAGGCCCAUAAUUACAGAGCCAGGGAAACUGGAACAUUUGUCUCCCCUUAGACAGUGGCAGCAGGAAGGUGGGGGGUUGUUGCAGAGGAACAGUGUCUCUGAGAGAGGACCUUGGACUUUCUGGGAAUCUCUGAGCUGCCCGGUUCUCCCCACUGCUGGCACUGUGCCCACAGCCCAAACAGAAUGGGGGAGAUGGAGGGGCAGGGCUUCUGUGGGAAGCUGCCCUCCACCUCAUUGGCACAGAGUGUCUCAUUGCAGAGAGAAAAAAGGACCAGUUUUCUCUCUGGCACCCAGGUCUGGAAGAGGAGUGACAUCCACGGAAGUUGGUGACUUGGACUGGCUGGCCGUGAGUGGAACAUGUCCAUCCAGCAUGGCCACAGUCCAGUGGGACACACAGCCUAGAGCUGUGGAAUGCCGUGCCACAGACUAGGGAACUCCUAAUGCUGUUUCGAUGUUGUCUGGCUAGUUUUGUGUCAACUUGACACAGCUGGAGUUAUCACAGAGAAAGGAGCUUCAGUUGAGGAAAUGCCUCCAUGAGAUCCAGCUGUAAGGCAUUUUCUCAAUUAGUGAUCAAGGGGGGAGGUCCCCUUGUGGAUGGGACCACCUCUGGGCUGGUAGUCUUCGGUUCUAUAAGAAAACAAGCCAGGGGAAGGAAGCCAGUAAAGAUCAUCUCUCCAUGCUCUCUGCAUCAGCUCCUGCUUUCUGACCUGCUUGAGUUCCAGUCCUGACUUCCUUGGUGAUGAACAGCAGUAUGGAAGUGGUUUGGCAUCUUGGGAAUUUUCUGUAAGUCAUCUUCCUUUUUUUAAUUAAAAGAAUUAGUCAUAUUUA